GCUAGCAGCAUGACUUGAUAGUGAUCGUCGCGCAAGCGGACGUUAAGGCUACGGCCAAGACGGAUUGUUUAAAGCAAACACCAAGAAAACCUCUCGUUUGUUCCCAAGGUCGCCCGUACCGUAAACCGACACAGGUGGGUGGGUAGAGUAUACCCAGGCGCGUGAGUGAAACCUCGUUAAGGAACUCGGCAAUCUAGCCCCGUAACUUCGGAAGAAGGGGUGCCAGUCGCAAGACUGGCCGCAGUGAAAGGGGUCAACCGACUGUUUAACAAAAACACAGCACUCUGCCAAGUCGCAAGACUACGUAUAGGGUGUGACACGUGACCAAUGCGGAAAGAUUACGGUAAGUGGUUAGCGCAAGCGAAGCUACGAGCCCAAGUCCCCGUGAAUGUCGGCCGUAACUAUAACGGUCCUAAGGUAGCGAAAUUCCUUGUCGGGUAAGUUCCGACCUGCACGAAUCGUGUAACGAGUUGACCGCUGUCUCAACGAGGAGCUCAGCGAAGUUGUAGUGGCGGUGAAGAUGCCGCCUACCCGCAGCAGGACGGAAAGACCCUAUGCACCUUUACUGUACGCUGUUACUGUUUUUUCGGUUUUAAUGCUUAGCGUAAGUGGUAGACUUUGAUUCGCUUCUUUCGGGGAGCGAUGAGUCGUCAAUGAAACACCACCCUUUGAAACUGGAGAAUCUAACCUCUCGCCAUAAUCUGGCAGAGGGACACUGGCAGCCGGUCAGUUUUACUGGGGCGGUAUCCUCCCAAAGAGUAACGGAGGAGUACGAAGGUUGGCUCAGCCUGGUUGGUAAUCAGGUGACGAGUAUAUGGAUAUAAGCCAGCCUAACUGUGAGACCUACAAGUCGAGCAGGUGCGAAAGCAGGUCCAAGUGAUCCGGUGGUUGAAUGUGGAAUUGCCAUCGCUCAACGGACAAAAGGUACGCUAGGGAUAACAGGCUGAUCGAGUCCAAGAGCUCAUAUCGACGACUCGGUUUGGCACCUCGAUGUCGGCUCAUCACAUCCUGGGGCUGGAGAAGGUCCCAAGGGUCCGGCUGUUCGCCGGUUAAAGUGGUACGCGAGCUGGGUUCAGAACGUCGCGAGACAGUUCGGUCCUUAUCCGCUGUGGGCGCAGGAAGAGUGAGGGGUUCACACCUUAGUACGAGAGGACCGGGUGUGACGAACCACUGGUGUUCCAGUUGUCCUGUCAAGGGCAGUGCUGGGUAGCUAUGUUCGGAAAGGAUAAGCGCUGAAAGCAUCUAAGCGCCAAGCCUCUCCCGAGAUGACUCUUCCCCGAAGGAUCGUGGCAGACCACCACGUUGAUAGGAUUCCGGUGUAAGCACAGUAAUGUGUUCAGCUGAGAAUUACUAAUAAUCCGUUCGGCUUGGUCA
rnacentral:rRNA from 1 species